UACAGACAAGAUGACAGGAAAUUAUGGUUGUUGUAUUACAUAUUGAUAACUUCAAACUGGUUACUCAGGAAAACAAAUAUAGACAUGCAAGAUUGUCAAAUAAUUAAUCGUUAACUGUUCCUUUCAGUAAAGCUUGUUAACAAUAUAUUUUUAAAUGUUAGAUAUUUUACUUCUAACUUUUCUGUAAAACAUAGUUAUUAUUAUUACUUUUAAUGUAAAUGGCUAAUUUUCUUUAAGGAGAUAAUUGAAAAUUUCAGAUAUUUACUGACAAAUUUCCUUUUUCUGGUGCUUAUGAUGAUUUUCAUCUGGUAUCACUCCCUUUAACAAAGUUCUUUCAAUGAUUUUUUGUAGUGGAGAUUGACCUUCACGUUUUUACUCUCUAAAACUGAUUCCGUGAGACACUUCUUCUCACAGUAAAACCGAUGGAGAAGCGAUGAAUCCGUUGUUUGCUGCGGGCUUCUUGGAAAUGGGCAUGCUCCCCCGACUGCACAGGACAGGAAGUGGUGUAACUCUUCGGAAUGCUGUAGUAUAGCAUAAAACAACUUAAAAACAGAGAUGUUUUUACCUACAGAGAAAAGCAAGACAUACAUCAAAUUUUGGCAAAGUGACUUCUGUUUCCAUCGGUGCCCACGCACAUGAUCUCAAGAAGCCGUGUGCUGUGGUGCCUUUGAGGCUCAGGUGGCAUUAUGGCGGACUGGGAUUUGGAGCCUGUGACACCAGGCUAAUUGCCCACUCCAUUCUUCUGGUGGAAUGAAACCUACGGAAGGACUUAC
rnacentral:lncRNA from 1 species